rnacentral:sRNA from 1 species
AGAGGAGAAACCAUUAUGCGAAGCAUAAUUCAGGAUGGUUUCGACGAAAUGCCGCCGAACGAAGGUGAGGGGGCAAUACA